UGCCAGCAGCCGCGGUAAUACGGAGGGUGCGAGCGUUAAUCGGAAUCACUGGGCUUAAAGGGUGCGUAGGCGGAUUUUCAAGUGCGUUGUGAAAGCCCACGGCUCAACCGUGGAAUUGCUUCGCAUACUGUUAAUCUUGAGUUCGGUAGGGGCUGUCGGAACGAUAGGUGGAGCGGUGAAAUGCGUAGAUAUCUAUCGGAACGCCCAAGGCGAAGGCGGACAGCUGGGCCGACACUGACGCUGAGGCACGACAGCGUGGGGAUCAAACAGGAUUAGAUC
rnacentral:rRNA from 1 species